rnacentral:rRNA from 1 species
CCUACGGGAGGCAGCAGUAAGGAAUAUUGGUCAAUGGACGCAAGUCUGAACCAGCCAUGCCGCGUGCAGGAUGACGGCCCUCUGGGUUGUAAACUGCUUUUAUAGGGGACGAAAAAAGGGCUUUCUAGCUCGUCUGACGGUACCCUAGGAAUAAGCACCGGCUAACUCCGUGCCAGCAGCCGCGGUAAUACGGAGGGUGCAAGCGUUAUCCGGAUUUACUGGGUUUAAAGGGUGCGUAGGUGGGUCGGUAAGUCAGCGGUGAAAUCUUCGAGCUUAACUCGGAAACUGCCAUUGAUACUAUCGAUCUUGAAUCAUCUGGAGGUAAGCGGAAUAUGCCAUGUAGCGGUGAAAUGCUUAGAUAUGACAUAGAACACCAAUUGCGAAGGCAGCUUACUACGGAUGCAUUGACACUGAGGCACGAAAGCGUGGGGAUCAAACAGGAUUAGAUACCCUGGUAGUCCACGCCCUAAACCGAUGGAUACUCGACAUUUGAGAUAUACUUUAAGUGUCUGAGCGAAAGCAUUAAGUAUCCCACCUGGGAAGUACGAUUCGCAAGAUUGAAACUUCAAAUUGAUUAGAGNGNGAGAGNGCGAGCGACGACGAGGAGGAGG